GGACCCACCCGGCCGGCCUUUAUCUCAGAAACAGAUGUACCUGAGUGAACACUCGGGUAUCAGUGCUAAGGUCCUGGUCCGCUGCUGUGAAUGGAACCGCUGGGUUGUGUUCCCUCCCGGCAAGUUUGCAGACCCUCGUCAGCAAAGGGAAGGACGCUCUGGGCGCCCACUGGGGGCGCAAGGACGGAGCUAUGGAAGUGAGGUCCCACCGUCUGCAGUUGGCAGGAUGGGACUCAGAGAGCCGAUGGUGUGAGUUGCAGCCCGAGGACGGGAGCCUGGGAACCGAGGGUGCCUGCCCCAUCCCGGGGAAGCGGGAUCGAUGUCUCAGAGCACGCAGCUGGGCUCAGAGGGGACUCCGCCUGCUGCCUCCGCCUUUCCGUUUGGUUUGGAUUCUCAAACCUCGCGGAGGACAGUCCACGGACACGGUCACUAACGCUGCAUCUGCAGACAUCCUCCGCCCACGCCCAGAGACGUUUGCCACGUGCCCAGUUGACACACGAAGUUAACUGUCACCACCACCUCUGAUUCCGUAUGCUUGGUGGUCACUCCGUGCCUGUACUGCCGGCUGGUGUCCCCCAACACCAUCUCCACACAGAACCUGCAGACGUGGCCUUCCUUGGGAGCAGGGUCUUCACAGAGAUAACCAAGCUACGGCUGACGUCUAAUCACGGACUUGUUGGAACAGGAGCCCUGGGAAGAGCCAGAAAGACAGGAAUCCACGGCAAGCCUGAGCAGGCUCCUUGGGCUCAGUACUGAAGGUCCAGUCCCUGGCGAGCACACUGAACCCUUGCUCCCACAGACAAGGUCGCCUUCGGGGAGGAAGUGCCAACAACGGAGGGGAUCAGAAUGGAGCCUUUAUUAACCAUGCCACUGCUGCUGUGGCCGGUAUCUCCCGUCUCCAACGUGCACGGAUCCUUGGUGGACAGCAAGGACGCAGGAUAACCAGGAAACAGUUGUCGCCCUCAGGAAGCCCAUGGCCCGGCUAGGAGUAAGUAGGAGAUUAAAUGCUUGUAGUGCAUCAUAGGAGGUGACGGUGGGUGGGUGUUCCCAGGGAGAAAUGACGCUCCAGAGUAGGACCCGAGCAUAAAGAUGCUCCACGGGACAGGCCCCUGCCUCCCGAGUCGGGAACGAACAAUAGACACCGGGGAUAGACUCACAGGGACUGCAGGGUGCAGGUUCUAGAAUCCCGAGAUACCAGCUGUGAAGGGACUAGGCCUGUGACGUUCACAGACAUGAAAGCCAAGCUUACCAAAUUUUUAAAAGCGACUGUCGGGACCGGCAUGGUCGCAAAGCACAUAAAGUUACUGUUU